rnacentral:rRNA from 1 species
UACGAAGGGGGCUAGCGUUGCUCGGAAUCACUGGGCGUAAAGCGCACGUAGGCGGCUUCUUAAGUCAGGGGUGAAAUCCUGGAGCUCAACUCCAGAACUGCCCUUGAUACUGAGGAGCUCGAGUCCGGAAGAGGUGAGUGGAACUGCGAGUGUAGAGGUGAAAUUCGUAGAUAUUAGGAAGAACACCGGUGGCGAAGGCGGCUCUCUGGAACGGUACUGACGCUGAGACGCGAAAGCGUGGGGAGCGAACAGG